rnacentral:rRNA from 1 species
UUGAUCCUGGCUCAGAAUCAACGCUGGCGGCGUGCCUAAUACAUGCAAGUCGAACGCGAAAGUGGAGCAAUCCAUGAGUAGAGUGGCAAACGGGUGAGUUACACGUGGGUGACCUGCCUUAGAGUGGGGGAUAACGUCCCGAAAGGGACUCUAAUACCGCAUAACAUCCUGCCUUUUAAGAGGUGGAGAUCAAAGCUGGUGAUCGCAAGACCUGGCGCUUUUAGAGGGGCCCGCGCCUGAUUAGCUAGUUGGUGAGGUAACGGCUCACCAAGGCAACGAUCAGUAUCCGGCCUGAGAGGUCGGACGGACACACUGGGACUGAGACACGGCCCAGACUCCUACGGGAGGCUGCAGUAGGGAAUUGUUCGCAAUGGGCGCAAGCCUGACGACGCAACGCCGUGUGGAGGAUGAAGACCUUCGGGUCGUAAACUCCUUUCGAUCGAGACGAAUGGCUUCCGGCUUAAUACGCCGGGAGAAUGACGGUACCGAGAGAAGAAGCUCCGGCUAACUCCGUGCCAGCAGCCGCGGUAAUAAGGU